GCAAGACUCAGCAAUUCCUCACCCUGGGUUAGGUGCUCUGACUUUCUGGUGAUCAGAACGAGGACUUUCAAAGAUUCUUUCAAGUUAGAACCCGGGAUAGGCUCGUCAUGGCACGUCACUAUAGGCUAAUGUAUGGAUUGUGUUUCAGAAAAAGACAAAAACAACUCAGAGUUGGGAUGAUUGGGAGCCCCCGUCAGCCAGGGAAUAAGAAUGCGACCAACACAUCCUGGAAGGCACCAGACAAAACUGAAGGACCCGGAGACGUCGAAGCCUGGC